UACAGAGGUCUCAAGCGUUGUUCGGAUUCAUUGGGCGUAAAGGGUGUGUAGGUGGCGCGCUAAGUCGGGUGUGAAAUUUCGGAGCUUAACUCCGAAACUGCAUUCGAUACUGGCGUGCUUUAGGACUGGAGAGGAGACUGGAAUUCAUGGUGUAGCAGUGAAAUGCGUAGAGAUCAUGAGGAAGACCAGUGGCGAAGGCGGGUCUCUGGACAGUUCCUGACACUGAGACACGAAGGCCAGGGGAGCAAACGGG
rnacentral:rRNA from 1 species